rnacentral:rRNA from 1 species
AACCUGCUCUAAGCAGACAGACCCGCGAACCCGUUUCUAACCAAGCGCUCCCGGGACGCGCCCUCCUCCCCUCGGGCUGGGGGGCUGCCUCUCGGAAGCGCGACCAACCAAACCCCGGCGCGGAUUGCGCCAAGGACUAUGAACAUCAGCGCGCCCCGCGGGUCCCGGACUUCCGGCGUCUCGCGGCGGCGUCGUGUCGUUUCUACCUAAAAAUAAAACGACUCUCGGCAACGGAUAUCUCGGCUCUCGCAUCGAUGAAGAACGUAGCGAAAUGCGAUACUUGGUGUGAAUUGCAGAAUCCCGUGAACCAUCGAGUCUUUGAACGCAAGUUGCGCCCGAAGCCUUCUGGCCGAGGGCACGUCUGUCUGGGCGUCACGCACCGCGUCGCCCCCCCUCCCUCCCGGGGGAAGAGGGGCGGAGACUGGCCUCCCGUGCGUCCCGGCGCGCGGCUGGCCUAAACGCAGACCCCGCGGCCGCAAAAAGCCGCGACGAUUGGUGGUGUUAACAGCAUAUCAAAGUCGCGUCUCGAGCGGCCCUCGGGCGCUCAAGGGUCCCUUGAACUCCGGUUCACCG